rnacentral:rRNA from 1 species
UGGUGAGAUCNUCCAGCUUAACUGGAGANGUGCCUUUGAUGCUGAUUGUCUAGAGGGAGGUAGGGGNAUGUGGAAGUUCAGGNGGAGCGGUGAGAUGCGUGGAUAUCUGAAGGAACGCCAGUGGCGAGAGCGAUGUGCUGGACCUCUUCUGACGGUGAGGCGCGAAAGCUAGGGGAUCAAAGGNAUUAGAUACCCCGGUAGUCCUAGCCCUAAACUAUGGGUACUAGAUUGUGGACUUUCAUGGGUUCACAGUCGAAGCAAAAGUGUUAAGUACCCCGCCUGGGGGGUAUGGUCGCAAGGCUGAAACUCAANGGAAUUGACGGGGGCUCACACAAGCGGUGGAGCAUGUGGGUUAAUUCGAGGCUACGCGAAGAACCUUAUCCUGGAAUUGACAUAUGUGAAAACGGUAGGAAGUAAUUGCCGGAAGCGGCCAAUGAACGGUAUGCAAUCCGGAACUUACCACAGGUGCUGCAUGGCUGUCGUCANCUCGUGUCGUGAGAUGUCUGGUUAAGUCCGAUAACGAGCGCAACCCUUGUCUCUAGUUUCCAGCUAGUAAUAUCAGGAACUCUAGAGAGACU